rnacentral:rRNA from 1 species
GGGGAAUAUUGCACAAUGGGCGCAAGCCUGAUGCAGCCAUGCCGCGUGUAUGAAGAAGGCCUUCGGGUUGUAAAGUACUUUCAGCGAGGAGGAAGGCAUUAAGGUUAAUAACCUUGUCGAUUGACGUUACCCGCAGAAGAAGCACCGGCUAACUCCGUGCCAGCAGCCGCGGUAAUACGGAGGGUGCAAGCGUUAAUCGGAAUUACUGGGCGUAAAGCGCACGCAGGCGGUCUGUCAAGUCGGAUGUGAAAUCCCCGGGCUCAACCUGGGAACUGCAUUCGAAACUGGCAGGCUAGAGUCUUGUAGAGGGGGGUAGAAUUCCAGGUGUAGCGGUGAAAUGCGUAGAGACCUGGAGGAAUACCGGUGGCGAAGGCGGCCCCCUGGACAAAGACUGACGCUCAGGUGCGAAAGCGUGGGGAGCAAAC